rnacentral:misc_RNA from 1 species
AAGGAUCAUUAUUGAGUUUUAUAAGGAGAUUUGCUUUUUGGCAUCUCUCUUUUUUCUCUCUUUUUCACCCUUUUGUUAUCAUUUUUCUCAGUUGCUUUGGCAGGUGGAUUUGUUCUCCUGCCAAGGGAUUUUUCUAAACACAUUUUUGUUAUCCAAUAAUCGGGAUAUCUCUCGUCUGAUUUCUUAUGACUUUUGAAUAAGUACAUAAAACUUUCAACAACGGAUCUCUUGGUUCUG